GAUGAAGAACGCAGCGAAAUGCGAUACUUGGUGUGAAUUGCAGAAUCCCGUGAACCAUCGAGUCUUUGAACGCAAGUUGCGCCCGAAGCCACUAGGCCGAGGGCACGCCUGCCUGGGCGUCACACGCCGUUGCCCCCCCAUCUACUCCUUCGGGAUUGCGGGGGGGCGGAUGAUGACCUCCCGUGCGCCUAGCCGCGCGGUUGGCAUAAAUACCAAGUCCUCGGCGACGCACGCCACGACAAUCGGUGGUUGCGAAACCUCGGUUGCCCGUCGUGUGCGUUCGUCGCGCAUCGAGGGCUCGAAAAAAUGCUCGGCUCCGGCUGGGCUUUCAACGCGACCCCAGGUCAGGCGGGGUUACCCGCUGAAUUUAAGCAUAUCAAUAAGCGGAGGA
rnacentral:misc_RNA from 1 species